rnacentral:lncRNA from 1 species
UCCUCACCCAUCAUCAAGUAUUGUAUCAUAAACUCAGCCGAUAUUCAGUAAUACUAUACUAUGAUGAGAGCAAGGGUUCCACUGCUACUGUUGUUGGGAAUUCUUUUCCUGGCAUCACUUUCUGUCACCUUCGGCAUUGUUCACCGGGAGCACCAACAGAGCCAGGAAGAGUCGGAUUCAAGAGGAAGAAACAACCCCUUCUACUUCAACUCUGACAGGUUCCAUACUCUGUACACAAACGAAUAUGGUCACCUUCGUGUGCUCCAGAGGUUCGACCAACGCUCCAAACAAAUUCAGAAUCUUGAAAACUACCGUCUUGUAGAGUUCAAGUCCAAACCCAACACCCUCCUUCUUCCUCACCAUGCUGAUGCCGAUUUUCUCCUAGUUGUCCUUAACGGUAAGUAAUCAUCUAAUCCCUACUGACUGAACUUCAUCCCACUAGCUUCUCCUGCACGAAUGAUAAUAAUCAAUUUGUUAAUUACAGGGAGAGCCGUACUCACCUUGGUGAAUGCUGACGGCAGAGACUCCUACAUUCUUGAGCAAGGCCAUGCCCAGAGAAUCCCUGCAGGAACCAUUUUCUUUGUGGUUAACCCUAACGACAACGAAAAUCUCAGAAUAAUCAAAAUGGCCGUACCUGUUAACAACCCUCACAGAUUUCAAGUACUACCUUUUGUAAUUCUCAACUAACUUUUUUUAUUCUAACUUGCAUUUUCUCUCUAAAUGUAACGAUAAAUGUUUGUCAUGUAGGACUUUUUCUUAUCUAGCACAGAAGCCCAACAAUCCUACUUGCAAGGGUUCAGCAAGAAUGUUCUAGAGGCCUCCUUCGAUGUAAGCAAGAAAACAACAUCUAAUUACACAUUUGUUUCCAUUUAGGUUUUCUAAUUUUCAGUCUUGUUGAAUGAUAUAUAUAUUUGGCACGAAUUUUGUAGAGUGAGUUCAAGGAGAUAAACAGGGUUCUGUUUGGAGGGGAGGGACAGCAACAGCAAGGCCAGGAGAGUCAGCAAGAGGGAGUGAUUGUGGAACUUGAAAGAGAACAGAUUCGCGAACUGAUCAAACAUGCCAAAUCUAGUUCAAGGAGAGCCCUUUCCUCCCAAGAUGAACCAAUCAACCUGAGAAACCGCAAACCCAUCUACUCCAACAAAUUUGGAAGGUGGUAUGAGAUCACCCCGGAGAAAAACCCCCAACUUAGGGACAUGGACAUGUUCAUCAGUUCUGUGAAUAUGAAAGAGGUAACAGGAAGGAAAACCAUAUCACUGUCGUCUUAAUUAUAAAAUCUUAGUACCGAUGCAAUAAUUAAAUAAUGGUUUCUUUUUUAAAAACUUUAUUAGGGAGGCCUUCUUCUGCCACACUACAAUUCUAAGGCCAUAGUGAUUCUGGUGAUUAAUAAAGGAGAAGCAAACCUUGAACUUGUUGGGCAAAGAGAACAAGAACAAGAGGAAAGCUGGGAAGUGCAGAGGUAUAGAGCUGAGUUGUCUGAAGACGAUGUAUUUAUAAUUCCAGCAACAUAUCCUGUUGCUAUCAACGCUACCUCCAAUCUAAAUUUCUUUGCUUUCGGUAUCAAUGCUGAGAACAACCAGAGGAACUUCCUUGCAGGUAUAUUAUAUGAUAUAUCUCCCUCAAAUUUGAAUACAGUGUUGUUUGUUUUAUGCGACAUGAUGAGUUUGUUGAUUUACGUUUGAAGGUGAGAGAGACAAUGUGAUAAGCGAGAUACCUACAGAGGUGUUGGAUGUGACGUUCCCUGCGUCUGGUGAGAAGGUUGUGAAGCUGGUAAAGAAGCAGAGCGAAUCCUACUUUGUGGAUGCACAGUCUGAGCAAUAAAUAUGAAGUGAAAUGUAUGUAUGGUGGAAGAGCUCAUAUAUAGAGAGCAUGGAAAUAUGUAUCGGCCAUGUAGCAAUAAAUGAGCUCCAGCUCACUUCUUGAAUGAAUAAUAAAGGGUAUAUUUAUUUUUAUAUAUUCCUUUUCUUUAUAAAUACAAUGUUGAAAUUUUUAAUAACCA